CCCACUUUUCCAACCAACCCAUCAUGGUGACAAUGAACCACUCCUGAAAUAACAGGAACCCAUUUGUAAGAGCAGAGGGCUCCGGACCUAAUUGCCUCUCAAAAGUUCCCACGUCUGGACGUUGUUGCACUGGGGAUCAGUUUCCCACAGAUGAACUUCAGGGGACACAUUCAAACCACAGCAGGGCUGGCAGUGACCAGAAGGGAGAUCAAGGAGCCAUUUCCAAGGAAGAUGAAGCAAAUACUGAGCAGGUCUUUGGGUCACAGUGAUGAAAAGCUGACUAAAACAGUCUUGUUCUGAGACGUGGAAAAGUUAAACACUUAGCCUGAGCUCACACAGCGAGGAAACGGAGGAGUCACGAUACCACCCAAGAUAUUCCACAUCUUCUUGGUGAGUCUAUUUCCAAGACCCAAUACCAUGCUACACAUCCAAGAGAAGACUGGUUAUUUUGUGCACCCUGUCGUAUCUGUGGCCCAUACUAAAUGCUUGUGGAGAGCAGCUGUGUCCUGCUAAAUUGCUUCAUGAUAAAUAGAACAGUAGCUUUCAGACUGGGCCCAAGACAGAGGUACUCCAUUCUAUAUAGCAAUAGUUUGGCAUGGUUACUCCACUUUGAUGUAAGUGCUGAGGAAGAAUGACUUAUUUGUAUAAGUAAACAAUCACCAUCUGUCUAGCACAACCCAAAGCACAAACCAAUAAAUAAAUUAAUCAUGCUAAUAAAA